rnacentral:rRNA from 1 species
CCUACGGGGGGCAGCAGUGAGGAAUAUUGGUCAAUGGCCGGAAGGCUGAACCAGCCAUGCCGCGUGAAGGUCAGUGCCCUAUGGGCGUUAAACUUCUUUUGUGCGGGAGCAAUAAUGGUCACGUGUGGCCCUACCAUAUUACCGUUCCAAUUAGCAUCGGUUCACUCCGUUCCAGUAGCCGCGGUAAUACGGGGGAUGCAAGCGUUAUCCGGAUUUGUUGGGUUUAAAGGGUGCGUAGGCUGUGAGGUAAGUCAGCGGUGAAAUGCCCCCGGUCAACGGGGUGAAGUGCCAUUGAUACUUCCGGGCUGGAAUGCGGAUGCGGUGGGAGGAAUGUGUGGUGUAGCGGUGAAAUGCAUAGAUAUCACACAGAACACCGAUUGCGAAGGCAUCUCACGAAUCCGCGAUUGACGCUGAUGCACGAAAGCGUGGGUAUCAAACAGGAUUAGAUACCCGAGUAGUC